rnacentral:rRNA from 1 species
AACCUCUGCAAUAGGCGAAAGCUUGACAGGGUUACUCUGAGUGAUUUCCGUUAAGGAGAUCUUUUGGCACCUCUAAAAAUGGUGCAGAAUAAGGGGUGGGCAAGUCUGGUGUCAGCCGCCGCGGUAAUACCAGCACCCCGAGUGGUCGGGACGUUUAUUGGGCCUAAAGCAUCCGUAGCCGGUUCUACAAGUCUUCCGUUAAAUCCACCUGCUCAACAGAUGGGCUGCGGAAGAUACUAUGGAGCUAGGAGGCGGGAGAGGCAAGCGGUACUCGAUGGGUAGGGGUAAAAUCCGUUGAUCCAUUGAAGACCACCAGUGGCGAAGGCGGCUUGCCAGAACGCGCUCGACGGUGAGGGAUGAAAGCUGGGGGAGCAAACCGGAUUAGAUACCCGGGUAGUCCCAGCUGUAAACGAUGCAGACUCGGUGAUGAGUUGGCUUUAUGCCAACUCAGUGCCGCAGGGAAGCCGUUAAGUUGCCGCCUGGGAGUACGUCGCAGAAUCCUAU